AUGGAUCGCCCCCAGCUCCGGAACCCUAGCAGCCGCCCUCUUAAGCCGCUGCGGCCACCGCGAGGCUCGGCCGCCCAGCCCCCGCCAGCGUCGAGGCCUCCCCCCAAGCCCUCCUCUCCAGAUGGAAGGCCAAGAAAAAAGGUUCGAUUUGCAAGUGAAGCUGGUAGUCAUCACAUGCAUGCGAGACAGGAUGCUAACACAAGCAAAGCUGAGAAAACUAAGCCCCAAGGUUCCGAUGCGAAAACUACCGAACUCAAAUUCUUUAAGAAAUUGUGGGAGCAGUCAGGAUGUAGAUCCCGUUCCCUCAGACAACCUCAUCAAAACAUUGUGCCAAGCAUCUCCAAGCAAAAAGAGGGUGAUAGAAUGGAACCACAGAACAUGACGUCGCACAAGAAGUUCCCUGCGCAGAAUGUUACUCUGUGUCCUGAUGAGACCCCAGCCACACCCUCAAACAAUGAAAUCUCUGAUGAGCAAGUGGAAGUGCAAGCCUCACAUUCUGAAUAUCACAAUCAUGAUACACCUCAGUUAAAACCAUGUGAUAUCCUGCCAAUGGGUCAUGUUUUCACACCCACGAUUCAGACACCAUUUGAAAUCGCAGGGAUUUCAAGAAAUACCGACGCAGAACCUGGGAGUGGACGCAUGUUUUCAGAAAAGAGAAGAAAAUUAUUAAAGCUAGCUGCAAAAACUGUGUCAAUGGAAAGUUCUGAGUUGUUGCGAAAAAGAUCAGAUUUUUUUGCUGAUAUCUUGCAAAGGUUAGGCGCCAACGACAUAAUAAGAGAGCAUCAUAAAGAGCCCAUGAGACAGAGGGAAAUGGUUCACAGACGUGCUCAUUCUGAUCCCAAAGGUCAUUUUGAAAACAUGCUUGAUUAUGGGGGUGAUUUCAAAUCAUCAAGUAAACUGAUAUUGGGCAAAGAGUCAUCCUCAUAUGCAAGUGACGAAUCACGUCAAUUCUUAGCGUUGCCAUGGGUAGACGAUCAGGGUCUUCCAAGUUUUCUUGAUUGGAAAGACGAUUUAUCUUGUGUGGACAAUGGAGCACAUGAGAGCAUGUCAUUACCAUCAGCAUAUUCUACAAAACUUUCAAGUUCUGAUUGGAAAAGGGACACUGUUCACAACCAGGUCUCCAACUUGUUGCUAGAGGAUGUUCAACACCUCACCAAAGGCAAAUUAGCUUCGGGUAAUGAAUUGGGCUGCAAUAUUCAAUCUGAGCCAUAUGAUCAUGAUGAAUGGGAUCCAAUGCUGUUGCUAGCAGUCACUGAACCAUUUCCAAAUCGAUUGUCCUUCCCCUGUCAGAUCAGAGAGCAGUCUGUGGUGUCGCGUGCAAUAUCAGAUACUUCAUGGCAACCUGAGUUUUCCAGAUCCCUAGAGCAUUGUACUUCUAAGUCGCUUGGACUGGAGGUGGAUGGCUUGAUUGAGGCAGGAUUGUUUGAUGAUUCUGAUGCUGGACUUCAAUCUGCAUUUGAUCAGUCACAUGAGAAAUGCACUUCAGGAUUUUUAGGCCUUAGAAACGGAAUUCUUGAUAAUAAUGGUUUUAGCAGUAUCUCCAACUUCCAUGUUAGUCAGAGCAAGAGCAUUGUGUUGAAUCCAGACCGAAGUUGCCUGAAUUCCAUAUGUUCAACUUCAGAUUACCCUUUUGAGCAGCGGUCAAAGAGCUUUUGUGACUCUGCUGUCCCUGUAUCCUGUAUGGAUGGAAUGGUGGAGAGACAUUUGACAGAGGCAGAGUUGUUUGAUGAUCCUGAUACUGGGCUUGUACAGGGACUGGAUCAGCUACCUUUGAAAUUCACUGCUUCAAGUUUUCCCAAGUACACGUCUGGAAUUCUUGAUCAUCAUCAUGACCCAAAGGACUGCUACAGCAUUUUGCGCAUGGAUGCAAAUGAGACUUGUUUGGAUUCCUUAUCCUCAUAUUCAGAGCGUUCUUGUAAGCAAAACUGGGAAAGCUUAUGUGAUUUCUCCACAGAAUUGCGGUCAUCAUCACAUCAUGUCAAAUCUCGUGGUGGUAAUUUGGAAGGUAUGUUUGGUUUCUCGUCGAAUGGAAGUAUUUGCAAUGAUUUUGAAGAUGACAACAGUAUGACGCUAGUCGAAGGCAACACCAAGAGCUGCUUGUUUGGUACAUCGGAUCUUGCAUUAUUUGGUUCUUGCUCUACUAGAGAUAGCAUCAGCGAGACUCCCAUGUUAUCUUUUGAUGGUGUAAGGUGGUAG
rnacentral:rRNA from 1 species